UACAGAGGUCUCAAGCGUUGUUCGGAUUCAUUGGGCGUAAAGGGCGCGUAGGCGGCGGGGUAAGUCGGGUGUGAAAUCUCAGAGCUCAACUCUGAAACUGCACUCGAUACUGCUCUGCUUGAGGACUGGAGAGGAGACUGGAAUUCACGGUGUAGCAGUGAAAUGCGUAGAUAUCAGGAGGAACACCGGUGGCGAAGGCGGGUCUCUGGGCAGUAACUGACGCUGAGGAGCGAAAGCGUGGGGAGCGAACAGG
rnacentral:rRNA from 1 species